AAUUCUGCAAUAGGCGAAAGCUUGACAGAGUUACUCUGAGUGAUGCCCGCUAAGGGCAUCUUUUGGCACCUCUAAAAAUGGUGCAGAAUAAGGGGUGGGCAAGUCUGGUGUCAGCCGCCGCGGUAAUACCAGCACCCCGAGUGGUCGGGACGAUUAUUGGGCCUAAAGCAUCCGUAGCUUGUUCUGCAAGUCUUCCGUUAAAUCCACCUGCUCAACAGAUGGGCUGCGGGAGAUACUACAGGGCUAGGAGGCGGGAGAGGCAAGCGGUACUCAGUGGGUAGGGGUAAAAUCCUCUGAUCCACUGAAGACCACCAGUGGCGAAGGCGGCUUGCCAGAACGCGCUCGACGGUGAGGGAUGAAAGCUGGGGGAGCAAACCGGAUUAGAUACCCGGGUAGUCCCAGCUGUAAACGAUGCAGACUCGGUGAUGGGUUGGCUUUGCGCCAACCCAGUGCCGCAGGGAAGCCGUUAAGUCUGCCGCCUGGGGAGUACGGUCGCAAGACUGAAACUUAA
rnacentral:rRNA from 1 species